rnacentral:rRNA from 1 species
GUUAUCACGGGAGACACACGGCGGGUGCUAACGUCCGUCGUGAAGAGGGAAACAACCCAGACCGCCAGCUAAGGUCCCAAAGUCAUGGUUAAGUGGGAAACGAUGUGGGAAGGCCCAGACAGCCAGGAUGUUGGCUUAGAAGCAGCCAUCAUUUAAAGAAAGCGUAAUAGCUCACUGGUCGAGUCGGCCUGCGCGGAAGAUGUAACGGGGCUAAACCAUGCACCGAAGCUGCGGCAGCGACACUGUGUGUUGUUGGGUAGGGGAGCGUUCUGUAAGCCUGUGAAGGUGGCCUGUGAGGGUUGCUGGAGGUAUCAGAAGUGCGAAUGCUGACAUAAGUAACGAUAAAGCGGGUGAAAAGCCCGCUCGCCGGAAGACCAAGGGUUCCUGUCCAACGUUAAUCGGGGCAGGGUGAGUCGACCCCUAAGGCGAGGCCGAAAGGCGUAGUCGAUGGGAAACGGGUUAAUAUUCCCGUACUUGGUGUUACUGCGAAGGGGGGACGGAGAAGGCUAUGUUGGCCGGGCGACGGUUGUCCCGGUUUAAGCGUGUAGGUGUGUGUUCCAGGUAAAUCCGGUUCACUUUAACACUGAGGCGUGACGACGAGGCACUACGGUGCUGAAGCAACAAAUGCCCUGCUUCCAGGAAAAGCCUCUAAGCAUCAGGUAACAUCAAAUCGUACCCCAAACCGACACAGGUGGUCAGGUAGAGAAUACCAAGGCGCUUGAGAGAACUCGGGUGAAGGAACUAGGCAAAAUGGUGCCGUAACUUCGGGAGAAGGCACGCUGACACGUAGGUGAAGUGAUUUACUCAUGGAGCUGAAGUCAGUCGAAGAUACCAGCUGGCUGCAACUGUUUAUUAAAAACACAGCACUGUGCAAACACGAAAGUGGACGUAUACGGUGUGACGCCUGCCCGGUGCCGGAAGGUUAAUUGAUGGGGUCAGCGCAAGCGAAGCUCCUGAUCGAAGCCCCGGUAAACGGCGGCCGUAACUAUAACGGUCCUAAGGUAGCGAAAUUCCUUGUCGGGUAAGUUCCGACCUGCACGAAUGGCGUAAUGAUGGCCAGGCUGUCUCCACCCGAGACUCAGUGAAAUUGAACUCGCUGUGAAGAUGCAGUGUACCCGCGGCAAGACGGAAAGACCCCGUGAACCUUUACUAUAGCUUGACACUGAACAUUGAGCCUUGAUGUGUAG